GACAGAGGUGGCGAGCGUUGUUCGGAUUUACUGGGCGUAAAGGGUCUGUAGGCGGUCUGCUAAGUCAGACGUGAAAUCCCUCAGCUUAACUGGGGAACUGCGUCUGAGACUGAUGGACUUGAGGACAGGAGAGGAACGCGGAAUUCCAGGUGUAGCGGUGAAAUGCGUAGAUAUCGGGAGGAACACCUGUGGCGAAAGCGGCGCACUGGACCACAACUGACGCUGAGGCGCGAAAGCUAGGGGAGCAAACAGG
rnacentral:rRNA from 1 species